GUCGUUUGACCAUUCCAGCCGUGUAUGGAGAAUCUAGUAGCCGAAAAAGGAAUAAAGCAAAAAACAUGUUCAAGUUCAGAGUAUGAAUCAUCACUAUCCAGUUAAAUUUAUUGUUUUCCGUAUUGACUUAACUUACCUGACUGGCAGCUGGCAUUAAAGUUUGAGGCCAACAGCCGAUUGCGGUCGCCAGUUAACAGUACUUCCCGUUUGUAUGGAUUCAACCGCGUAAACAGAUCGUAUCUUAAUUGCUUUUGGCGUGGACGUGAUCCUGGAUCAAGUAUUUGACGUGCCCCCUUCGUAACAAGUCCCGCUAUAAAUUCCACUGUAAACGGUUCACAAUCACCCAACUGGUUUUGAAAUUUGGAAGUUUUGUAUUCAUUGAAUGCUGCUCAAGCGAUGGUGGAGUGAGUCAUUGAGGAGAGAAGCAGUAAAUGCAAUGACAUUAAAAUACAAGUAUGUGUUUGUGAGGAUACAUGUAAAGAAAAGUCCAAAAAGAAAUAUGCCUUUGAAUAAAAUGUAUACAUUUACAUACAUAAUUAUGAUACUUAA